rnacentral:rRNA from 1 species
CGCGUAGGCGGACUUUUAAGUCAGAUGUGAAAUCCCGGGGCUCAACCCCGGAACAGCAUUUGAAACUGAAAGUCUUGAGGGUAGAAGGAGAAAAUGGAAUUCCACAAGUAGCGGUGAAAUGCGUAGAUAUGUGGAAGAACACCGGUGGCGAAGGCGAUUUUCUAUUUUAUUCCUGACGCUGAGGCGCGAAAGUGUGGGGAGCAAACA